rnacentral:rRNA from 1 species
AGUGAACGCUGGCGGCAGGCCUAAUACAUGCAAGUCGAACGGCAGCACAGCAGAGCUUGCUCUGUGGGUGGCGAGUGGCGGACGGGUGAGGAAUACAUGGGAAUCUGCCCAGUCGUGGGGGAUAACGUAUGGAAACGUACGCUAAUACCGCAUGCGCCCUUCGGGGGAAAGCCGGGGACCUUCGGGCCUGGCGCGAUUGGAUGAGCCCAUGUCGGAUUAGCUAGUUGGCGGGGUAAAGGCCCACCAAGGCGACGAUCCGUAGCUGGUCUGAGAGGAUGAUCAGCCACACUGGGACUGAGACACGGCCCAGACUCCUACGGGAGGCAGCAGUAGGGAAUAUUGGACAAUGGGCGCAAGCCUGAUCCAGCCAUGCCGCGUGAGUGAAGAAGGCCCUCGGGUUGUAAAGCUCUUUUGUCCGGAAAGAAAAGCAUUCGGUUAAUACCCGAGUGUUCUGACGGUACCGGAAGAAUAAGCACCGGCUAACUUCGUGCC